rnacentral:sRNA from 1 species
GGGGGGGACACGGGAAGGAUGAGAACCUUCGACUAAGGUUCGAUUCGAGCGAAAGCGAGAGAACGUUGCCACAGGCAACGGCCCGAAGGGUGAGGAGCGAAGCGACGAAUAAUCCUUCCCCCACCACCA